rnacentral:rRNA from 1 species
AAUUGAUCAUGCUCAGAUCAACGCUGUUUGGCAGGCCUAACACAUGCAGUCGAGCGGAUGAUGGGAGCUUGCUCCCGGAUUCAGCGGCNGACGGGUGAGUAAUGCCUAGGAAUCUGACCUGGUAGUGGGGGACAACGUUCGAAAGGAACGCUAAUACCGCAUACGUCCUACAGGGAGAAAGCAAUGGGACCUUCGAGGCCUUGACGCUAUCAAGAUGAAGCCUANGUCGGAUUAGCUAGUUAGGUGGAGGUAAAGUGCCUUACCAAAGGCGACUGGUCCAGUAACUGGUCUAGAAGAGGAAUGAAUCAGUCUAUCCAACGUUGNGUAACUUUGAGAACAACGUG